AACGAACGCUGGCGGCAGGCUUAACACAUGCAAGCCGAACGCCCGUAGCAAUACGGGAGUGGCGGACGGGUGAGUAACGCGUGGGAACGUGCCCUGAAGUACGGAAUAACCGCGGGAAACUGCAGCUAAUACCGUAUGAGCCCCGCAAGGGGGAAAGAUUUAUCGCCUUGGGAGCGGCCCGCGUCGGAUUAGCUAGUUGGUGGGGUAACGGCUGACCAAGGCUUCGAUCCGUAGCUGGUCUGAGAGGACGAUCAGCCACACUGGGACUGAGACACGGCCCAGACUCCUACGGGAGGCAGCAGUGGGGAAUCUUGCGCAAUGGGGGCAACCCUGACGCAGCCAUGCCGCGUGAAUGAUGAAGGCCUUAGGGUUGUAAAGUUCUUUUGCCCGUGACGAUGAUGACGGUAACGGGAGAAUAAGCUCCGGCUAACUUCGUGCCAGCAGCCGCGGUAAUAC
rnacentral:rRNA from 1 species